GCCAUGUGCAGGGAGCUGUCUUCCCAACCCACUUUCUGGGCACCUCAGCCACCCUGUAAUGAAUCCAAGGUUACGAAUACAGCAGAAAAUACAGGUUUUACCCAUGAUCACAUGCAAAGGAACCACCACAGUGCCCAAAAUGCCAGGGUGUGCUACAUGAAAGGGCAAGAGAACAGGAGGACUGGUGAUGCAGAGAGUCUCCAGCAGCAGGCAGAACCUAUGUUUUCUCCCACUGACAUGCCUAUACACCUGGGUUGACUUUAAACUGCAUUUGCCAGGCCUCAGCAAUUGCCCACAGUCCUGGGUCCUGCCCAGAGAAGACUGGGAUGAAAAAAUAGCAGCAAUGAAAGAUGGAAGCAAUUCCUUAAGUUUGUGUGAGAUUCAGAGCAGGAAACGAGUAUCAGUCUGUGACAAUAUAAUCAAACUCUUUUCCUGUAGGUCUCAGAGCAAGAUUAUAAUAAGCUGAGAACCACAGGAACAGGGAAUCAAAGUGACAAUUAAAGGUCUUUUUAAAAAGA